UACGUAGGGUGCAAGCGUUGUCCGGAAUUACUGGGCGUAAAGCGUGCGUAGGUGGUGAGUUAAGUCUGUCGUGAAAGCCCCCGGGCUCAACCUGGGAAUGGCGAUGGAUACUGGCUCGCUAGAGUGCGGUAGAGGAGAGUGGAAUUCCCGGUGUAGCAGUGAAAUGCGUAGAGAUCGGGAGGAACAUCAGUUGCGAAGGCGGCUCUCUGGACCAGCACUGACACUGAGGCACGAAAGCGUGGGGAGCAAACAGGA
rnacentral:rRNA from 1 species